rnacentral:rRNA from 1 species
UACGUAGGGGCCUAGCGUUGUCCGGAAUUACUGGGCGUAAAGCGCACGUAGGCGGAUUUGUAAGUCAGGGGUGAAAUCCCGGGGCUCAACCUCGGAACUGCCUUUGAUACUGCAAAUCUCGAGUCCGGAAGAGGUGAGUGGAAUUCCUAGUGUAGAGGUGAAAUUCGUAGAUAUUAGGAAGAACACCAGUGGCGAAGGCGGCUCACUGGUCCGGUACUGACGCUGAGGUGCGAAAGCGUGGGGAGCAAACAGG